rnacentral:rRNA from 1 species
GUGGGGAAUAUUGGACAAUGGGGGGAACCCUGAUCCAGCCAUGCCGCGUGUGUGAAGAAGGCCUUUUGGUUGUAAAGCACUUUAAGCGAGGAGGAGGCUACCGAGAUUAAUACUCUUGGAUAGUGGACGUUACUCGCAGAAUAAGCACCGGCUAACUCUGUGCCAGCAGCCGCGGUAAUACAGAGGGUGCAAGCGUUAAUCGGAUUUACUGGGCGUAAAGCGCGCGUAGGUGGCCAAUUAAGUCAAAUGUGAAAUCCCCGAGCUUAACUUGGGAAUUGCAUUCGAUACUUGUUGGCUAGAGUAUGGGAGAGGAUGGUAGAAUUCCAGGUGUAGCGGUGAAAUGCGUAGAGAUCUGGAGGAAUACCGAUGGCGAAGGCAGCCAUCUGGCCUAAUACUGACACUGAGGUGCGAAAGCAUGGGGAGCAAACAGGAUUAGAAACCCCUGUAGUCC